CUCAAAGCGGGUAAAAAUUAGGCUGACAGCCGCCCAAAUUUUCAGCCAAGUUUGAAAUUUUCACACAUACACUAUACACGCUCGAGUCUCCUUGAAUACCCUCAACACUCACUACACUCUCUCCCUCGCUCAACUCUCUCUCCCUUCUCUACUCUCUCUCUUGUUAAUCUCUCUAAAGCUAAUCUCUCUCUGGCCACCAUUUUCACUCAAUCUCGUCAUCACUUUUAAUUAACAUGGAUUUGCAUUUAUAGUUGGAGCACAGUUGAUUUGUGGGUCGAGGUUCCAAUUCUUCAAUUAGGGUUUUGGCUUUUCAAUCAGGGUGUUCUUAGUUUGAGUUUGCACUCCAAGACUUUAUUAUAAGGAGAAGCUUAAGCCGUUAAUGGAUCAACUUAACAAAGUCAAAGACUUGACUGUUCCAGAAUUUGGAAAUUUCCGAACUUGAGAAGUGCGAGCAAAUGCAAGAAUAUGUUUAUAUAUAAUAGUGGAGUGUAGUGGGAUGUUUGGUUGGAUCCGUUUAAUACUUUGAUUUGGUUGGAUUUGUUAGGUAGUUUUGUUUGGUUGGAUUUGUUAUAAACUUUGAUUUGUAUGAAAGAAUAGUUUAAUGUUUCAGUGGAUAUAGUGAAAUAUUGCAAAGUUGUUAA